AUGCUCUGGUGUCUCUUCAGAACAAAUAAAUCUUUCACUUUUUACUAAAGAUUUCCAUGGAGAGGAACAGUUGUGAGUUGGUAACCAAAUUUUUUUAGGCCUUGCUUAGACAGGGAU
rnacentral:snRNA from 1 species